CCCAAACUAAUUCAAUGAGAUCUGAGGAGUCCCAGCUUCACAUUUCUGUCACUGUGAACUCUCCCUUAGCUUUAGCCCCAGAAAAGACUGUGCUCUCUUAAACCAUGAACCAAAACAAAACCUCCUCCCUCAAGUUGUGUCUGUCAGGAAUCUUCUGAGUAACACGGCUCUACUUUUUGUCUAUUAGGCAAUGAAACAUCAUGGAGAUAAAGAAAGUUGUCUUUUAAUCCUCUUUCAUAGAGGUAACUACUGGCCCCAAGUGUCUGUUUAUUUUAUCUAUGCAUGUCUUUUUUAUUUUUCUAUUUAUGCAAGGUCCACAUGUACAGAACAAAAACUUCCUACCAUUGUGUCAGGUUUUAGUGAUCUUAUCAACAGCUUGCUUUUUCAGGGGGGAUAUUCAAGUGUCAGUAAUUAUGACCUCUUCAUUUACUCUACAGGACAUGUCCCCUCACUCCUGCAUGGAUGUCCCAGACCUGCAAUGACUUGGAGCACUUCUCUAAUGACCUCCUAGCUCUUACUUGUUCACAGAAGUGAGACUCAGCUUUGGGCAGUUCUUCUCAAAUUGCCUGAUCUUGAGGCCCCAGAAACAUUGUUGAAAAUACAGACCUCUGGGCUCACCUUGCAUCAGAUAUCUCUGAAAGCAUAUCUGAGAGUCUACACAGUCUACACAGGGAAACUUUGGAUACCCCAGAACAUGUUGUUAUUAAUGAUUAGGUCAUACAUGUUUUACUCUUGGCAAGUCAUGUGUAAGCUCUGUCACUGCCUCUCCCUCAACUCCACAGACAUGUAAAGAUAUAAAAGUCAUCUCAACUCAAGAGUUACACCAGAAAAGCCUAGAGUAGACUCAGCCUUGGGCCAGGUGUUCUGGCCCUGUGGUUGGCAUCUCUGCAUUGGUGUUCUUUGUGUCUAUAACAUCACUAUCAGUGCAAGUGUUCUGUGAGGUGGCAAUAGGCACAUCUGUCACUUUCCUGGUUUUUUUUUUGUUUGUUUUUUAGCAAUCUGAGUCCCCAGCUCCACCAUGUAGACUGCAUAUUGCAUCAGUUCAUUCCACUGCAAGCAUUUCAUCUUUGUACCACAGCAUUCUCUAUUGUCACGGGAUUUACUGAUGUGAGUCUGUUGGAGAAGCAGCAUGUCAUGUAGUUAUCUAGUGCCUGCCCAUUAUUCUGCAUGAACAUGAAUGGCAGCAUCUAGUUUCAAUCUACUGCCAUCUGAGACACCUGCCAAUGCAGAGGAAUGGGAAACAAUGUCUGGGGAAAUGGAUGGGACAGAAGACCCCACUCAGCAACCCUGGGACCUUGCUGCUCCAUGCAAAGAGAACACUGUUCUUUCACCUUUGAAUAUGACAAAUUGAUACAUAGGGAGCUGAGCUGGGAGACCAGAGGCAACAGAGACCCAAGCACUUACAACGAGAGUUAUUCAAUGCAGUACAUGCCUUCCUCUUUGCUUCCAAUACUUGGGGCCUGGCUGUGUUGACAGGUGAGAAGAGUCAUGCCAUCCCAGAGAGACAGCUUCCUACAAAAGAUAUCAAAGCUGAGGACUGAUACUUUCUGAGAAAAAGCUCUGGCCUCACCAGGCAGCAGGGCCAGCAGCUGUGAGAACAAUACAAGCGAGGAGGAACAAAACCUGCUGGUCCCCGGGGCUUGGACAUCUCAACCUCUGGAACUGUGAGACACGUGUUUCUGUUAUUUAUGUCACUCAACCAAUGACAUUUGUGUUCUGACAGCCUGAACAACAGAGGCAUAGGCAAAGAUAA